UGCUCAUGAUCUUUUGCUAUGUAUAAGACUUUUCCUUUUUAGUUAUGUUUUGACUAUGAGGGUGAGCCCGGUGGUUUGUCUUGGCCCCCGCUAAGUACUCAUGUUUAGAGGUGGUGUUGGACAAGUUGUGUAUUAUGCUUGAGCUUGACUCAUCUAUGGUAUUUAUGUAUCAUUUCUUUUUUU